rnacentral:rRNA from 1 species
UACGGAGGGUGCAAGCGUUAAUCGGAAUUACUGGGCGUAAAAGCGUGCGUAGGUGGUUCGUUAAGUCCGUUGUGAAAGCCCCGAGCUCAACUUGGGAAUUGCAGUGGAUACUGGCGAGCUAGAGUGCGGUAGAGGAAGGUGGAAUUCCCGGUGUAGCGGUGAAAUGCGUAGAGAUCGGGAGGAACACCAGUGGCGAAGGCGGCCUUCUGGACCAGCACUGACACUCAAGCACGAAAGCGUGGG